rnacentral:rRNA from 1 species
AUUUUGGACAAUGGGGGAAACUCUGAUCCAGCUAUCCCGCGUAUAUCAUGAAGGCCUUGGGGUUGUAAAGUACUUUUGGCAGAGAAGAAAAGGUAUCUCCUAAUACGAGAUACUGCUGACGGUAUCUGCAGAAUAUGCACCGGCUACAUACGUGCCAGAAGCCGCGGUAAUACGUAGGGUGCAAGCGUUAAUCGGAAUUACUGGGCGUAAAGCGUGUGUAGGCGGUUCGGAAAGAAAGAUGUGAAAUCCCAGGGCUCAACCUUGGAACUGCAUUUUUAACUGUCGAGCUAGAGUAUGUCAGAGGGGGGUAGAAUUCCACGUGUAGCAGUGAAAUGCGUAGAUAUGUGGAGGAAUACCGAUGGCGAAGGCAGCCCCCUGGGAUAAUACUGACGCUCAGACACGAAAGCGUGGGGAGCAAACA